GACGAACGCUGGCGGCGUGCUUAACACAUGCAAGUCGAACGGAAAGGCCCUGCUUUUGUGGGGUGCUCGAGUGGCGAACGGGUGAGUAACACGUGAGUAACCUGCCCUUGACUUUGGGAUAACUUCAGGAAACUGGGGCUAAUACCGGAUAGGAGCUCCUGCUGCAUGGUGGGGGUUGGAAAGUUUCGGCGGUUGGGGAUGGACUCGCGGCUUAUCAGCCUGUUGGUGGGGUAGUGGCUUACCAAGGCUUUGACGGGUAGCCGGCCUGAGAGGGUGACCGGCCACAUUGGGACUGAGAUACGGCCCAGACUCCUACGGGAGGCAGCAGUGGGGAAUAUUGCACAAUGGGCGGAAGCCUGAUGCAGCAACGCCGCGUGCGGGAUGACGGCCUUCGGGUUGUAAACCGCUUUCGCCUGUGACGAAGCGUGAGUGGCGGUAAUGGGUAAAGAAGCACCGGCUAACUACGUG
rnacentral:rRNA from 1 species